rnacentral:rRNA from 1 species
GUCGGUGACAGGUGGUGCAUGGUUGUCGUCAGCUCGUGUCGUGAGAUGUUGGGUUAAGUCCCGCAACGAGCGCAACCCCUAUUGUUAGUUGCCAUCAUUCAGUUGGGCACUCUAGCGAGACUGCCGGUAAUAAACCGGAGGAAGUGGGGAUGACGUCAAAUCAUCAUGCCCCUUAUGACCUGGGCUACACACGUGCUACAAUGGUUGGUACAACGAGUUGCGAGUCGGUGACGGCGAGCUAAUCUCUUAAAGCCAAUCUCAGUUCGGAUUGUAGGCUGCAACUCGCCUACAUGAAGUCGGAAUCGCUAGUAAUCGCGGAUCAGCACGCCGCGGUGAAUACGUUCCCGGGCCUU